AACUUAUAUUGUGCUUAUAUUGUGAACCAGCUCAAUGGACCUCCUCUUGAUCUUUCUCCUCUGGAAAGGCCAUGCAGCAGAGUAUAGGUAUUCAGACCUUCCUGGGUAAUGGACAGACCAUCUUUUCCAGAAUACAUUGGCAUGGGAUCCGGCGGUCCUUUCUUUGAAGGACUUCAAUGAAAGAUGGCCAACCCUGUUUGAACCCACUCGGGUACAAAAUACAGCCGAAGGAAAAUAGUCAAUAUUAAGGACGAGUUCAGAAGAAUUACAACUGUUUCUCUUGAGUCCACCUUUAUGCAGAAGCUGGACGAAUAUACACCAACAUGUUUUGACUUGUUUAAGUCAAAAGGAGGUGCUAUAAAGGCGGUUUGUAACAGUAUAGACUGAUGAUAAAUGAUAACAUUUAUUUUAUUAAAAUAAAGAUG